rnacentral:lncRNA from 10 species
CGUCUCGGCAUUAAACCAAACGUGGACGCCCUUGAUAGACUUUUAAAGGGAAAGCAGGAAUCGUCCUUUACACUUCACCUGCUUUUUACAGCGCAGGGGCCUCUGACAUUUGUGUAAAAUCCACCCGCCAGGAACCGCAGGCUCAGAGCUCAGAAGCGCCCUGUCCUCUUCAGGAGCCCGGGGGCUGACGCCACUCCUUCGAGGGGGCCAAGGCUGAAAAAUCAGCUGGCAAAAGGCAGAUUAAUUGGAGAAAAGGCAUACACGUUUAUGUAACGUAUGUACACAGGAGCCUUCAGCAUAAAGAACGAACGUACAGGGGAACUUGUCCACUUUUAUGCUUCUGUCCAACAAAGUAUGGACGGCCGGGUAGAAUAUGAUCAGACAAGAAGGGUGUGAUCUAACGCUGAGACCGAGUGAGGACACCCAGCAAGGCCUGUCCGGCUAGAUUCUGCCUGGCCUCUCUGAGCACACAUUCCUUCCUUCUGGAAUGAGGGGGUCUUAUGACCAGCAGUCAAACAAGAGCAGAAUGCAGAGAAGAGAUCCAAUUAAUUAAUCGAUCACUUCAGUUAUUGGGUUUCUGGUUUCAAGAAGUCAAGAUCUGCUACUGAAAUGUGCCAAAAGGAGGACCACUCAAAAAGUGCAGCACUUCCUGAAGAAAGGCAGAAUAAAGCAGCUGACUGCAGAGGCCAGGACGGCAGCGCCAGUGAAGGCUUCACACUGGGAUCUCAAGGCGGUAGCUCACAAACUUGUCUUUUAAGGGUCCUAAGGUCAACCAGAUUGGGAGCUUUCUACAUUCUCUAACCCACCUCCGUGGAAAUGCCCCAUGCCUGCAGUGCCCAGGUGUGUAUCAAAAGCUUCGAAAAGUCACACAGCCAAGAAAUCUGCUGAAUUCUAUUCAGCCGAGGGUCUUCCAAACUAACUGGACCAUGGGCCCUCUCUUGGCCUGACACAGCCUCAAGCCACUCUGGGGAUCCUGACUUGGCAUGCAUGGCCAGGGAGAGCACUUCUGAGAGCAGGAUUGUCAUUCAGACAGGGGUGUGCAGA